rnacentral:rRNA from 1 species
UACAGAGGUCCCAAGCGUUGUUCGGAUUUACUGGGCGUAAAGGGUGCGUAGGUGGUGAAGCAAGUCUGAUGUGAAAUCUCCGAGCUUAACUCGGAAAUGGCAUUGGAAACUACUCCACUUGAGGGUUUGAGGGGGGACUGGAAUACUUGGUGUAGCAGUGAAAUGCGUAGAUAUCAAGUGGAACACCAGUGGCGAAGGCGAGUCCCUGGAAAAUACCUGACACUGAGGCACGAAAGCUAGGGGAGCAAACAGG